rnacentral:rRNA from 1 species
AUGGACAAGGUGCUGGCCUUCUCCAUCCUGAGCGCCUCGCCGGCCGACAUCGCCCCCGGCGCCAGUAACGGCGGCAGCUGGGCUCGGCUGUCCUGGCGGGGAAGGAAGCUACAGCAGAAUGCGGCGGCGGCAGGCCGUCGACGGUGGAAACUCGGCGAGGUCCAGCCGGGGAGAUGGAAAAGGGCAGAGCAACGGCCCGAGAAAGGGAAAUCGCAGUGAUCGUCGACGUUGCGUCCGCGGUUCGUGCCGGAGUUCGACGGAAUCGACUGCUUCGAGACCAUCGUGAGCCAUUGA